rnacentral:lncRNA from 1 species
AUAUCUUUCCUCCCUCCAUCUUGAGUUUCCUGAGAGCGUCUCAGAUCUGAAACUCCUCCUUCUACUUUUCAUCUUUGGAAGAAUUCAAAUCAAGAAGAAGGAGGCACCUGAUCAACCAUCAAAGAAGGAUCAGCGCAGUACUAGCAUACUGUGCUGAUUUCCUGAAGCAGGACUUCUGAUCGAGAUUCGUGGGCUCGUGUGGACGACUCCUAGA